UGUGUGUGUUCGUCGUCGUUGGGUGUGAAGUUUGUUUAAUUCCGCAUUCUUUUUGUGUUGCUACGCCCUGCCAUUGGCUGCCAGUGAUGAUAUUUUACUCAAACUUUUCCUGGUGGGUGGUGAGGAAGGCGUGGGUGCUGCCAAGUGCCUUGGACUCCCGGGCCAACAAACAAACUACCGGAGCACCGCGCCGUGACCUGCAGGGUGAUCUGGACUUUUGGAGGUGAACAGAAGCACACACGCCUGCUGAUACACCUGUGGCAAGUGCAAGACAGUGUGGUGAGGAUGGAGGAUGCUGUGAACAUUCCCACCAUCAUUGCUUCAAGAUUUCUCUUUAGAAGGAGCUUUUGGACAUCCAGCAGGACACACGCCUGCUAAGACACCUGUGGCAAGUGCAAGACAGAGUACAGAGUGUGGCGAGGAUGGAGGAUGCUGUAAACAUUCCCACCAUCAUUGUUUCAAGAUUUCUUUGUGUUUUGUGAAGGUGUAGGAAGUACACAGAGUUUCAGCCACAGUAUUUCAUGACCUGGCAGUGUGUUCAGUGUUCACCUCUGUCAACAUUAACAAGCAAAGUACUUUGCAUAGAUAGAGGAGAUCCACCCAAUAGGUACAUUACAAUAGACAACAAGACCCUGGUAGGUUCAGAGUAUGAGAAAGAUUUAUGAGUUGUAGUUAGCUCUGAUCCUGAUCUAAGAAAGCAAUGCAUAGAGACUAGAAACAAUGUAAAUAGGAUACUAUGGUCUGACAAUUUUAUGAAGAUGGUUUAGGUGUUGAGUUUUCGGAGAUUUCCCGACCUGCGGCGGUGUCACACCUGUACCAAUAUGCACCUCAAGUCAGGUACUUAAUACUUCAUAACUGAAUGGUGUUGUGGUACAUAUACAUUUUGAUGCUCUAAAAAGGCAAGUUAGAAUAAUUCUUGUUUAUUUUUAAAUAUAUUUUGCAUUGUUUUAGCAAACACAACAAUACUUGGCAACAUUUCCUCCGAGUGUUGUCACGACCCUCUGGGUGACCGAGUGAGGUCACAGGUAAAAGUGACCGUGUUAAUCCAUGGGUCAAUUCCUCUCCCACUACCAGCCAGGAUGAGAGAGAGAGAGAGAGAGAGAGAGAGAGAGAGAGAGAGAGCAGCUUGACUAACUGACAGGCAGAUUAUUUUUGCAAAUUUUAGUAAUUUAUAAGUAAGUAUAGAUCUCUGAUAGAAAUAUAUUUGCAUGAAAUGUAAAUUCUAUAUGUAGAGAGAGAGAGGUGGUGUGUGGGAAGCAAGGUUCUCAUUGACACAUAGGCUCUAAUCCCAUAAUUUGCCCAGCACAAGGUUUGGCAGCGCCGCAAGCCGGGAAAUCCUAAAAAAAGUCAACGUCUAACCAAUCUUCAUAAAAUGGUCAGACCAUAGGAUUAAUUUUUAGGAGUGUUAGAAGCAGAAGUCCUAAAGUGAUAUUAAGAUUAUAUUUGACGCUGGUCAGACUGCAUCUAGAUUAUGCGGUAUGGUUCUGGUCCCCACAUUAUAGGAAAGAUAUAGGUCUAUUGGAGUCAGUGCAAAGGAGAAUGUCUAAAAAGAUGCAAGGGAUGAGGGACAUUGUCUACUAAAUGAGAACUGAGAAUUCAAAUUUGCAUUCCUUAGGUUAAGAGGGGACCUGAUAGAAGUAUGGAAGUGGUAUAGGGGUUAUAAUAACAAAAGAGACAGGAGCAAAGUUCUUAGGAUCAGUAGCCAGGAUAGAACCAGAAAUAAUGGGUUGAAGCUUCAAAGAUUAAGGUUUAAGAAAGAAAUGGGAAGGAACUGGUUCUCACAGAGUGGUUGAUGAAUGGAACGGACUCAGUAAUCACGUUGUUCAUGCUGAGUCAAUAGGAAGCUUUAAAAGAAGGUUAGAUCAAUAUAUGGGUGGGGAUGUUGGGUGGAAUUAAGUAGCUUUGCUUGUACAGGGACUGCCAUAUGUAGGCCUGACAGCCUCUUGCAGCUUCCCCCAUUGUAUUAUGUUCUUACGUGUACAUCAAGUCGUUUAGUUUCAUGUACCCAUUCAUUUAGCUAGAAUGAGUAAUAGUUUAUGAAAUUUAUGAUAUAGAAAAUUUACUUAGAAGAGAUCUUGCCUUAUGAAGACUUGCUUGAAGUUCUUAACCUGGCCUUUGUUUAUCACCUUCAUCUAGUUGAGUCAGUCUCUGUCAGCCUGCUUACUACUUGAGCCAUCUCUCCCAGCACACUCACACAUCCACCUCAGUGUGUUCUCUUCAGUCUGUUCCAAGCCUUGCGCUCUGUGCUUACUGGUCCACACCACAAACAUGAAGCAUUGCACUUCCCACAGAUGGAGGGUCACAGUCAUCACUGCAAGGUCUUACUGCAGCUGUUGUGGCCAAAUGUAGUAGUUAUUCCUUUAUGUAAAUGACACUUAGGAAAGAAAUGUGUGUAAUUGUUUAUACAUACAUUUUUGAGUGAUUUAGGCUGAGAAUGUUUAAAUUGACAAUAUGUAUAGCCAAUCAUCUUCUCCAUUUUUUAGAACUGAGAGCAAUAUCUUGUUAGAAUCCAGAGUGAGGGUCUGUAUUUUGUGAUAUUGAAGAUGACCAUACAGUGCCACAGGGGAUUACAUGCUGCCUCCACACAAUUUUAACCUUGUGAAAUUAUUAAAAAUUGUACAAUGGUGAAAGUUGCUCUUAGAUAUUUAUAAUAAAAUAUUCCCCAAUUGCUUUACAUGAAAAAUUGUACUAAUUUGAAAAUGAUGAAAACUGUACUAAAUUAUGUAAGUUGAAAGUUGCCCCUAAAGUUUUGUGAUAAAAAUUGUGUAAGUUGAAAGAAUUUUGUGAUGAAAAUUGUACUAAGUUGAAAGUUGCCCCUAGACUUUUGUGAUGAAAAUUGUGAUGAAAGUUGUA
rnacentral:lncRNA from 1 species